rnacentral:rRNA from 1 species
GAUGAACGCUAGCUACAGGCUUAACACAUGCAAGUCGAGGGGCAGCAUGGUCUUAGCUUGCUAAGGCCGAUGGCGACCGGCGCACGGGUGAGUAACACGUAUCCAACCUGCCGUCUACUCUUGGACAGCCUUCUGAAAGGAAGAUUAAUACAAGAUGGCAUCAUGAGUUCACAUGUUCACAUGAUUAAAGGUAUUCCGGUAGACGAUGGGGAUGCGUUCCAUUAGAUAGUAGGCGGGGUAACGGCCCACCUAGUCUUCGAUGGAUAGGGGUUCUGAGAGGAAGGUCCCCCACAUUGGAACUGAGACACGGUCCAAACUCCUACGGGAGGCAGCAGUGAGGAAUAUUGGUCAAUGGGCGCAGGCCUGAACCAGCCAAGUAGCGUGAAGGAUGACUGCCCUAUGGGUUGUAAACUUCUUUUAUAAAGGAAUAAAGUCGGGUAAUGUAUACCCGUUUGCAUGUACUUUAUGAAUAA